CAGCCGCCGCGGUAAUACGAAGGGGGCUAGCGUUGCUCGGAAUGACUGGGCGUAAAGGGCGCGUAGGCGGCGAUCAAAGUCAGGCGUGAAAUUCCUGGGCUCAACCUGGGGGCUGCGUUUGAUACUUGAUUGCUAGAGUGGGGAAGAGGGUCGUGGAAUUCCCAGUGUAGAGGUGAAAUUCGUAGAUAUUGGGAAGAACACCGGUGGCGAAGGCGGCGACCUGGUCCUUGACUGACGCUGGGGCGCGAAAGCGUGGGGAGCAAACAGGAUUAGAUACCCCGGUAGUCCCUGUCUCUUAUAC
rnacentral:rRNA from 1 species